GACACGGGCAUUCACAGAAUCAACGUGUUUGAUCUUCAUUAUCGUACUACUCACUACAUCACACUAUCUUCUAAUUCCUUUUUUUUUAUUUCCAAGCUUUUGGUACAAAUAAAUAACUGCAUUAUCUUUUGAAUAAUCCACAAUUGAGAUUUGUUAAUGCAUUACCGAUCUUUCUGUUGUGAUUUAGACCUGGGGGCUUGGGAAAAUUUUCGAUCUAAGUGGAAAUCGCAGAUUUUGCUUAAUUUUAUCUGAAGUGGAGAAGUGAAUGUCACCACUCUAACUCCUAAGAGGAUUAUUGACAAUGAGAUAGAAGACCCCCUACAUUUUAUAAAAGAAAAAGUCUUAAGAAGGAAUUGGAUAUGUUGUUGUUGCCGAUCUCAAACAUAUUUUGACCAGCAUUGGGGAGAAGCUUGAGCCUUCCGAGUUUGAUGAGUGGAUUAAGGAGAUUGAUGUUGGAUCUGAUGGCAAGAUUAAGUAUGAGGAUUUUAUUGCCAGGAUGGUUGCCAAAUGAUUCGGCGCUGUUUCCAGGCUUAUUAGAGGGCUUGCUGCUAGCGAAGAAGAUUUGCAGAAGGCAGAUUCUACAGCCAGGGAAGUGCUAUAAAUGGGUCAGGUCGUUCGAUUGAUUCAGUAAUUUGGUCGGUUUAGUUUAUCAUCGUGUAAGGUCUGAGUUUAUAGGGUGGAGGGUGAUUGGGAUUACCGUUUUGGGUGAGUGUGUUUGAGGAUAAUGUCUAUACCGUAACGAGGCUGCGUGUGUUCGGGUAUAUCAAGUGUGCAAUAACUUAAGAGUUACGUAAAGCACUUCGAUUUGUAUGGGGCAUAUAUUCGUUUCGGCUAUAAUAUUUCUUUCAUAAGGCUUC